AUUGAACGCUGGCGGAAUGCUUUACACAUGCAAGUCGAACGGCAGCACGGACUUCGGUCUGGUGGCGAGUGGCGAACAGGUGAGUAAUGUAUCGGAACGUGCCCAGUCGUGGGGGAUAACGUAGUGAAAAUUACGCUAAUACCGCAUACGAUCUAUGGAUGAAAGCGGGGGAUCGCAAGACCUCGCGCGAUUGGAGCGGCCGAUAUCAGAUUAGGUAGUUGGUGGGGUAAAGGCUCACCAAGCCAACGAUCUGUAGCUGGUCUGAGAGGACGACCAGCCACACUGGAACUGAGACACGGUCCAGACUCCUACGGGAGGCAGCAGUGGGGAAUUUUGGACAAUGGACGCAAGUCUGAUCCAGCCAUUCCGCGUGCAGGAUUAAGGCCCUCGGGUUGUAAACUGCUUUUGUACGGAACGAAAAGGUCUCUCUUAAUACGGGGGACUCAUGACGGUACCGUAAGAAUAAGCACCGGCUAACUACGUGCCAGCAGCCGCGGUAA
rnacentral:rRNA from 1 species